rnacentral:misc_RNA from 1 species
GAAGAAGAGAAAGAAGAAAGAGCCUACCAGCUAACAUGGCAAAGAAGACUCCAAAAUCCAAGAAACGUCGCUCUUGUUCAGCUUCCUCUGCCUCUUCUAACGCCAUCAGAAAAAUCUCCGAGGGUGGUGAUAACGAGAAGAGACCAAAGUCAGCAAUGAAGCCGACGAGGAGGCCAAAGAAGAAAAGUGUGAAAAUUGAUGCUAAAAGGCCUAAGAAGCCCCCGACUGCCUUCUUCUUCUUCCUGGAGGAUUUUCGUAA